GUGUUCACUUCAGCAGCAUAUACUAAAACCGAACGAUACAGAGAUUAGCAUGGUUCCUGCGCAAGGAUGAUACACAAAUUCAUGAAACAUUCCAUACUGUC
rnacentral:snRNA from 1 species